AACAUGGCCGGCGCCUAGGGGGAGCGCGGCGCUGUGUGGUACAGCAGCCCCCUUCCCCCGCCCCGGGCGCUGCGGCGGGGCAGAGGGGCCGCGGAGAAGCUCCGCCGCCGGCGGAGCCGCGGCCAUGGACGAGCAGAGCGUGGAGAGCAUUGCUGAAGUAUUCCGAUGUUUUAUUUGUAUGGAGAAAUUGCGUGAUGCACGUCUGUGUCCCCAUUGCUCCAAGCUAUGUUGUUUCAGUUGUAUUCGGCGUUGGCUGACUGAACAAAGAGCUCAGUGCCCUCAUUGUAGAGCCCCGCUGCAGCUACGAGAGCUGGUAAACUGUCGUUGGGCAGAAGAGGUCACACAACAACUUGAUACACUUCAACUGUGCAAUCUAACCAAGCAUGAAGAAAACGAAAAAGACAAGUGUGAAAACCAUCAUGAAAAACUUAGUGUAUUCUGCUGGACUUGUAAGAAGUGUAUCUGCCACCAGUGUGCACUUUGGGGAGGAAUGCAUGGAGGACAUACUUUUAAGCCACUGGCAGAAAUCUAUGAGCAGCACGUCACAAAAGUAAACGAAGAAGUGGCAAAGCUUAGGAGAAGACUCAUGGAAUUGAUCAGUUUAGUGCAAGAAGUGGAGAGGAACGUGGAGGCAGUGCGCAGUGCAAAGGAUGAACGGGUUCGGGAAAUCAGAAAUGCGGUGGAGAUGAUGAUUGCCCGGUUAGACACUCAGCUGAAGAAUAAGCUUAUAACAUUAAUGGGUCAAAAGACAUCGCUUACCCAAGAAACUGAACUUCUGGAAUCCCUGCUCCAGGAAGUAGAACAUCAGUUACGAUCAUGUAGUAAGAGUGAGUUGAUAUCCAAAAGUUCAGAGAUCCUGAUGAUGUUCCAGCAGGUUCAUCGGAAACCCAUGGCCUCCUUUGUCACUACUCCAGUUCCCCCAGACUUCACAAGUGAAUUAGUUCCGGCCUAUGACUCAACUACCUUUGUGUUGGAAAACUUCAGUACAUUGCGUCAGCGAGCAGAUCCUGUUUAUAGUCCGCCUCUUCAAGUGUCAGGACUUUGCUGGAGAUUAAAAGUUUAUCCAGAUGGGAAUGGAGUGGUACGGGGCUACUACCUAUCUGUGUUCUUGGAGCUGUCGGCUGGAUUGCCAGAGACAUCCAAGUAUGAGUAUCGUGUAGAAAUGGUUCACCAGUCUACCAAUGAUCCAACUAAAAACAUAAUUCGAGAGUUUGCCUCUGAUUUUGAAGUUGGAGAAUGCUGGGGCUACAACAGAUUCUUCCGUCUAGACUUGCUAGCCAAUGAAGGCUAUUUAAACAGACAGAAUGACACUGUGAUUCUAAGGUUCCAAGUGCGUUCACCGACCUUCUUUCAAAAGUGUCGAGAUCAACACUGGUACAUUGCUCAAUUGGAAGCAGCUCAGACAAGUUAUAUCCAACAAAUAAAUAACCUUAAAGAAAGGCUUGCGAUUGAACUAUCUCGGACCCAGAAAUCACGAGGCAUUUCACCUCCAGACACUCAUCUUAGUCCCCAGAAUGAUGAUGGUUCAGAAACAAGAUCGAAGAAGUCUGGACAAAGCACUGAAACACUACUUGAAAAUGUUGCUGCUCCAGGAGUGCGAGACAGCAAGGAAGAUGAUGAGGAGAAAAUCCAGCAUGAAGACUUUAACCAUGAGCUCUCUGAUGGUGACCUGGAUGUAGAUCUUGCUGGAGAGGACGAGGUAAACCAUCUUGAUGGCAGCAGCUCUUCGGCAAGUUCAACAGCAACUAGUAACACUGAAGAAAAUGAUAUUGAUGAAGAAACUAUGUCUGGUGAAAAUGAUGUGGAAUAUAGCAAUAACAUGGAGUUGGAAGAAGGAGAUCUCAUGGAGGAUGCUGCUGCUUCUGCUGCUGCUACUUCUGGAGCAUCAGGUACUUGCCAUGGCUACACCAAUGCAAGUGGAAGAUCUUCAAGGCGAGGAGGAAGUACCCUAGGUUCAGCAGCCAGUAGCAGCUUAUUAGAUAUAGAUCCCUUAAUUUUAAUCCACUUGUUGGAUUUAAAAGACAGAAAUGGUAUGGAAAACCUUUGGGGCCUUCAGCCACGUCCACCUGCCUCUCUUCUGCAGAACAGAGCGUCAUCCUAUUCUCUGAAAGAUCGAGAUCAGCGGAGACACCAGGCAAUGUGGCGUGUGCCCCCUGACAUAAAGAUGCUGAAGAGACUGAAAACUCAGAUGGCUGAAGUCCGAAGCAAAAUGUCUGAUGUAAAAAACCAACUGUCAGAAGUAAGAAGCAGCAAUGCUGGCACAUGUGAUGGACAACCCAGCUUCUUCUCUGUUGAACAGGGUGCUUUAGCUGCCUGUGGAACAGAAAGUUGCAGCAAGUUGCAAGAAAUAGGAAUGGAACUACUGACAAAGUCUUCAGUUACAAGUUGUUACAUAAGGAAUUCUGCAAGUAAGAAAAGUAAUUCACCCAAACCUGUUCGGUGUGGAGCAGCAGGAGCUCUGUCUCUGCGAAGAGCUAUGGACAGUGGGGAUGGUAAUCUUCGUUCAAAGGGCGAUGGUCAAACUUCCGAAGGUGGCGUUGGAAGUUCCAAGUCAAGCAGCAGACAUAACUCUCCGAGGCCCCUGAGCAGCGGUAAUGCUUCUGAGGCACUGCCGAAGCCCGAGGACAGACCUUGUGAAGGUUCGGAUUCCGACGUGGGAGUUUCUGGCCUAAAUGGCUUAGCUGCUAUAGAGAAGGCCAGAAAAGUUGGAGCUUUAGGACCGAAUUCUAAAGGAUGUCGCACAGAGGGAACCCACUCAGCUGAUCUGGAGAACGGCUUGGAAACUGGUGAACUGCAGGGCAUGCUUUCUGAAGGUGCUUCAGCUGGGGCCGAGGAAGCUGGGGUAUGUCAGAAGCAUGUCCUUCAUCUCCUACCAGGAAUGAGCAGUGAUAGUGACAUUGAAUGUGACACAGAAAAUGAAGAGCAGGAGGAUGCCACCUCCACUUCAGAGGGAUUUAACCAUGCCUUCCCUGUCCAGUCCUCAAGCGAAGCCUUAGAGCGAUGCUCAGUAUUUCCAGAGGGUGAUCAAGUAGGUCCUGAUGAUCUCAGCUUUGUUACUGGAGAAGACAGCACCAGGUAAUUCUAAAUGUUUGUCUUAGCUAGGGUCUGAGAUGACUGUAACCCCAGAGAUGCACAUUUCCCUUAUUGCUCCCCAAGUUGAAGAGAUUAAAGGAACCAUUUACCUCACUGAGAGUGGGCAGAUGGACGUUUGUAGAGUCUAACGUGUGGCAAUCUCCCACCAGGAGAUUCGUGGCAGGUAGAUAGAUAGAGAACUGACCGGGUGCCUGAAGACUGGCCGGCUUGCGUUCCUGGGAAGAGGCGCGUUGUUCGUUGGAGCUUAGUCCAAGGCUCCUGGUUUUGGUUGUGUGCACACUCCAUUCUGUCCAGGACCAUUGUGCAGUACUGCUACAGUCAUCUUUAACCUGUCACUGGAGCAAAGCCUUAUAGUAAAGGCCGCAUUCCUGCUGGCUCUGCCAGACUCAGAUGCACAUGCUCUGAAAAAAUGUCCAAAAGGUGCUGCAGCCCUAUUUCAAGAUGUUUGUCCUAUUAUGUCAUGAGAAUAACAGAGAAUGUGUGAAUGUUCUUAUUUUUAAUGCAAUGAACUGAUUGUAUAAGACUGCUGAAUCCCACAGAUACAACGGUUUGAAAGUUGGGGUAAGGCAGUUGGCAUGAAAGUUGUUUUCCUCAGUCUGUAAGGUGGACCAACUGAACACAUUGCCAAACAUUUUGCCACUGUGCAUUGCGUUUUGAGCUGCUAAACUACUUGUUGAAGCUAUGAUGAAAGCUGAAUCGCUGGUUAUUGAAAAAGCAUGAAUAACUGUAACUUAUAGUUGUUCUUGUCUCAGCUGACUGUACUUAAGUUCAUUUUUGUAUGAAUGUUCCACAGUAAGUGCUGUACAACUCAUAGUUUAAAACUGUUUGCACUUUGUUAAUAAAAUGAGUGGUGAAA